GACGAACUGUCCUAACGUUGUUCGGAAUCACUGGCUUAAAGGGCGCGUAGGCGGUCCGACAAGUCAGGGGUGAAAUCCUGCAGCUUAACUGCAGAAGUGCCUUUGAUACUGUCGGUCUGGAGGGAGAUAGGGGUGUGCGGAACUUCCAGUGGAGCGGUGAAAUGCGUUGAUAUUGGAAGGAACGCCGGAGGCGAAAGCGGCGCACUGGAUCUCUUCUGACGCUGAGGCGCGAAAGCUAGGGGAGCAAACGGG
rnacentral:rRNA from 1 species